rnacentral:rRNA from 2 species
AGAGGUUUCCGCCCUUUAGUGUGAAGUUAACGCAUUAAGCACUCCGCUGGGGAGUACGGUCGCAAGACUGAAACUCAAAGGAAUUGACGGGGGCCCGCACAAGUGGUGGAGCAUGUGGUUUAAUUCGAAGCAACGCGAAGAACCUUACCAGGUCUUGACAUCCUCUGACAACCCUAGAGAUAGGGCUUUCCCUUCGGGGACAGAGUGACAGGUGGUGCAUGGUUGUCGUCAGCUCGUGUCGUGAGAUGUUGGGUUAAGUCCCGCAACGAGCGCAACCCUUGAUCUUAGUUGCCAGCAUUCAGUUGGGCACUCUAAGGUGACUGCCGGUGACAAACCGGAGGAAGGUGGGGAUGACGUCAAAUCAUCAUGCCCCUUAUGACCUGGGCUACACACGUGCUACAAUGGAUAGUACAAAGGGUUGCAAGACCGCGAGGUGGAGCUAAUCCCAUAAAACUAUUCUCAGUUCGGAUUGUAGGCUGCAACUCGCCUACAUGAAGCCGGAAUCACUAGUAAUCGCGGAUCAGCAUGCCGCGGUGAAUACGUUCCCGGGCCUUGUACACACCGCCCGUCACACCACGAGAGUUUGUAACACCCGAAGUCGGUGGGGUAACCUUUUAGGGGCCAGCCGCU